rnacentral:lncRNA from 10 species
GCCUUUGAAAAACACCUAACUUAGGUGCUUUGAAUGUGAUGAUUUGCAUAGAACUCCACAUCUCACGUGGCAUGGCCAGCCUCAUGUUUAUUAAACUCUUUCUCAACUACAAAGACAUGACCUUUCUUUAUGCAGUGGGCUGGAAGAACUUCUCAGAUGGUUACGAGAUAUAUUUGAUCCUCUGAAUUCUUGGCUGUGGAAGUAAUGUAUACAAAGCACUGACUAUAUAUGUAUAUCUUUAUAUCUGCAUAAAAAACCCCAGGCUCAGCAAGCAGAGAAAGGAGAAGAGGAGAUGCAGCAGGACCUCAGGGACUACGGUUGGACAUCAGAGAGAUGCAGCUUGACUUCACAGGGACAGCUUGACAGUGUAGCUUUGAUAUAAUUGACAUAAGAUGAAGCAAUACUGGAUUAUGGCAGAACCUAAAUCUGACAGCUGGUAUCUUUGUAACAGAAGGAGAGGAAGAAUUGGAUAAAGAGACAUAUGGAAGAUCUGAAGAUGGAAGCUAUGUUCGAAUGAUGUGGUAACAAGCCAAGGGAUUCCUGAAUCAACCAGGAGCUGGGAAAGGCAGGAAAGGUCCUCCCUUGGAGCCUGUGGAGGGAGAGACGCACUGCCUCACUUUGAUUUUUAAACUGCCAGCAGCAGGAGAGAUUACAUUUCCUAAGUAGUGGGGAUUACAAGCAUGAGCCACCAGGCCUGGGGAAUUUUUGUAAUUUUAAUAGAGAAAGGGUUUCACCAUGUUGGCCACACUACUCAUGAAGUCCUGACCUUAGGUGGUCUGCCCACCUCGGCCUCCCAAAGUGCUGGGAUUACAGGCAUAAACCAAUGCACCUGGCCAGAAAUUCUUAUUGUUUUAAGCCACCCAGUUUGUAGUUAUUUCAAUGGCAGGCAUGGGAAACUUCUAAAACACAUAUACAUGGAUGUAUAGGCAUAUUCACAUACACACUUGUAUGUACAGUCAUAUGCUACAUAAUGACAUUUUAGUCAAUGACAGACUACAUAUAUGAUAAGAAUUCCAUGAGAUUAUAAUGGACCUCAGAUAUUCCUAUUAUAAUGUGCUGUCCUAGGCUUCCUAGGGUUGUAGCACAAAAGCAUUACUCAUGUGAUUGUGUCCAUGCUAGUGUAGAGGCAUGUUGCCAGUUAAAUAAAAGUGUGCAAUAAUGUCGCAGGUCUUCAUAUCCCCUCAUCACCCACUCACAGACUCACCCAGAGCAACCUCCAGUCUUGCAAGCUCCAUUCACGGUAACUGCCCUAUACAGGGCUACCAUUUUAUAUUUUUGAUGCUGCAUUCUUACUGUACGUUUUCAGUGUUUAGAUGAACAAGUACUUGCCACUGUGUUGCAGUUGUCUGUGGUGUUUAGCAUGGUAUUGUGCUGUACAGGUUUGUGGCCUAGGAGCAAUAGGCUCUACCAUAUAGCCUAAGUGUGUAGUAGGCUGUACCAUCUAAGACUGCAUAAGUACACUCUAGGAUGUUCGCACGAGAACUAAAUCAAACAAGGACACAUUUCUCAGAAGUAUUGUCAUUAAGUAACACAUGACUCUUUAUACAUACACAUAGGCAUAGGCAUAUAGAAAAAACAAAUGUAACUGAAAUGGGAUCUGGCAAUGUGCAGAAACCAAGGCAGCUUUUCUCUGGGUCUCUCUCACAGGAGUCAGCAUCCCUUUGCACAUGGGAUCCAACAUGCUUCUCUGCGUAUAUGAUUCGUCUUCUAUCAUGGGCCAUCAUUAGUCCUAGCUUAGAGUACAUUAAUAAAAACAUGGCCUUUAAUAGGUGGGAGUCACAUCAAGUUUUACAUUAUCCAAGUGGCUGUGUGUGACACCCUAUAAACAGUAGCAACAACCCCUGAGAUCUCUGUAUCUCUGUAUCUUGCUUGUCUUUCUAGAGAGUUAUAGCAGAAACACAAGGUUUGUAACCUAUUUGCCAGAGUGUAACCAUAAGCUCCCCUUUUUCCCAUAACUAAUGAGGUAGUGGUAAAUUCAGAAUAGGUCUAUAUAUGCAGGUGUGUGUGUGUGUGUAUAUGUAUAUGUGUGUGUGUAUAUGUAUAUAUGUGUGUGUGUAUAUAUAUAUAUAUAUGAUAUAGUGUUCUUUAUACUCCUUGUGAGAGAAUGUAA